rnacentral:rRNA from 1 species
AACGAACGCUGGCGGCAUGCCUUACACAUGCAAGUCGAACGGCAGCACGGGAGCAAUCCUGGUGGCGAGUGGCGAACGGGUGAGUAAUAUAUCGGAACGUGCCCAGUCGUGGGGAUAACGUAGCGAAAGUUACGCUAAUACCGCAUACGAUCUAAGGAUGAAAGCGGGGGACUCGCAAGAGCCUCGCGCGAUUGGAGCGGCCGAUAUCAGAUUAGGUAGUUGGUGAGGUAAAGGCUCACCAAGCCGACGAUCUGUAGCUGGUCUGAGAGGACGACCAGCCACACUGGGACUGAGACACGGCCCAGACUCCUACGGGAGGCAGCAGUGGGGAAUUUUGGACAAUGGGCGGCAAGCCUGAUCCAGCAAUGCCGCGUGCAGGAUGAAGGCCUUC